rnacentral:lncRNA from 1 species
CAAAGUAUAAUGGAUGUAAAAGAUUGACAGACAAGGGUAUAUAUAAUCAAAAGUUUAAAGUCCUCCUUGGAAAGCGGUGGAACGAUUGAACGACGCGGUUUUGAUCAUGUUGACUGGCACCCGCAGAGGGUGAAGAAACGACAUCGUUUUGUGAGGGCAGUUGUUGUGAAACGCUGUCGUAUUAGUUUCAGUGGUCGGCAGCUUCUCGUUCAGUUAAAAUCCAACGAAGUCUCUCUCCAAAGCUUACUGGUGGGUGGUGACUUGUUAGUUAAUGCUCCUCUUAUCUUCCUCUCUAAAUUCCCAUUCCAGGCCUCCACCUUUCCCAUACUUUCUCCCCACUUUCUCGGGAAAAUCUCUACAUCCGCUCUCUUUCAACCAUGCACCGAAUAUCGAGCGCAACCCGCGUCUCCGAUGAGUUUUUCAACUCAACAACUUCACCAUCAGCAACCCCAGAU